AGAAACCAACAGGGAUUGCCUCAGUAACGGCGAGUGAAGCGGCAAAAGCUCAAAUUUUAAAGCUGGCACCUCCGGUGUCCGCGUUGUAAUUUUGUGAGGCAUCUCCGGGUGGGGCGCCGGCCUAAGUUCCUUGGAACAGGACGUCAUAGAGGGUGAGAAUCCCGUGCUUGGCUGGCUGUCCCCGUCCAUGUGAGGUGUCUUCGACGAGUCGAGUUGUUUGGGAAUGCAGCUCAAAAUGGGUGGUAAAUUUCAUCUAAAGCUAAAUAUUGGUGGGAGACCGAUAGCGCACAAGUAGAGUGAUCGAAAGAUGAAAAGCACUUUGAAAAUAGAGUUAAAAAGUACGUGAAAUUGUUGAAAGGGAAGCGCUUGAGACCAGACUUCGGUGGGGAGUGAUCAGCCGUCCUUCUGGGCGGUGCACUUGCCCCCCUCCGGGCCAGCAUCGGUUGGGACGGCGGGAUAAAGGUCCCGGGAAUGUGGCUCCUCUCGGGGAGUGUUAUAGCCCGGGUGAAUGCCGCCAGCCCCGACCGAGGACCGCGCCUUCGGGCUAGGAUGCUUGGCAUAAUGGUCUUCAGCGACCCG
rnacentral:rRNA from 1 species